rnacentral:rRNA from 1 species
GAUCCUGGCUCAGAUUGAACGCUGGCGGCAUGCCUUACACAUGCAAGUCGAACGGCAGCAUGGAGGAGCUUGCUCCUCUGAUGGCGAGUGGCGAACGGGUGAGUAAAGCAUCGGAACGUACCGUGUAGUGGGGGAUAACUGCGGGAAACUGUAGCUAAUACCGGAUACUUUCCCUGGUGGGCAUCCACUGGGGAAGAAAGAAUUUCGGUCAAGGAUGAUCUCGCGGCCUAUCAGCUAGUUGGUGAGGUAAUGGGCUCACCAAGGCGACGACGGGUAGCCGGCCUGAGAGGGUGACCGGCCACACUGGAACUGAGACACGGUCCAGACUCCUACGGGAGGCAGCAGUGGGGAAUAUUGCACAAUGGGCGCAAGCCUGAUGCAGCAACGCCGCGUGAGGGAUGAAGGCCUUCGGGUUGUAAACCUCUUUUAGCAGGGAAGAAGCGAAAGUGACGGUACCUGCAGAAAAAGCACCGGCUAACUACGUG